ACUGGCCCUAUUUUUUGGUACUUCUGGAUGUAUCCCGACCAACCGCCUGUGUUACGGGUUUCUACUUUGCGCUCGGGUUUGCGGUAAUAUAGAUGGUUAUCAUCGGCAGAUGAUAUGUCCGAACCAGUAACCAUUAGGACAUCGGCUAGAGUGGGGGAUGCAGGACCAUGGCCGAAUACAAAAGCAUUGAGGGUGUCAGACCAGAAAUAUGAAGCAGCUAUCAACAGUGAUUCGUUCCUCUCCAUAUCGGCGAUGGAUAACCUAAUGCAUUGAUCUAAUUUUCGCUCACCCCAUCGGACUUCAUUCGAGUUGCCGAUUCUUAGGAACCAAUCUUUCCAACCCUUGGUGGAACUGGGCCAGGAGCGAAAAGUAUCUUUCCAUAGGUCUAAAGAAAAGUUCUCGGCUCUAAAUGGGAUCCUAUUUGUCUAUGCAUUUAUUAGAUUGGUGGGAUCUGGAUUUCCCAAUGUGCCAAGACACUGAAAGUGGGGUUGAUCGGUAGGAAUCACAAUCUUACCAGCUAACUCCUAAAAGGUUGAAGGUUGGAGGAACGAAAAAGAAAAAAAAGAAGAAAAGCUGUACUCAGUAAAUAGAUUCGUGGAUGAAUAGGAGUACAAUAAAAGUAUAAAGGAGAAAGGGGGUGAUUAAGUUAACCUCAGGGACGACGAAGUUGAUGGCCAUUUCUCUCAGAAAGAGAAAGAACUCGAAGACCCAAAAAGUUGUCGGGGGAGAUCCUUGAGCGGAGUUCUUGAAGUUCUUGAGCAGUGCCACCGCCAGAAAGGAGGGUAUGAGGUUGUAGAAUGACAAGAUGGAAGAAGAGUACCGGAGAAGGAAGUAUUUAUAGGACAAGGAGGGCAGGG
rnacentral:lncRNA from 1 species